GCGACCGUGCAAAGCUCACUUUCAACCAUGAAGAGACGACACUCCUUAUUAUUGACGACCAGAGGUGUGUAGCGGCCCUAUUAGAAGUGUGUGCACCCUGCCUGUGGAUUGCUCAGGAAGAUGGAGUUGCAUUGCAAAGUUUUUCACCAGACAACAAAAAGAAGACCUCUCUCUGAAGGACUGGAGGGUCACAGGCGUCCUAGGACAUCUGUGGGCUGAGUGUGCACAGUGCCUGGGGAUUCCUUAGGAAGGUGGAGCGGCUGUGCACGCCUGACUGUCGUGAAGAGACGAUUUUCCUCUAUUUGAUGAUGGGAGUUUGUGGGAGAAGUGCAGGAAGUGUGUCCCUAGGGGUGCACCUUGCCGGUGGACUGCUCAGGAAGGUAGAUGAACUGCAAGGUUCUUUAUCAGCCAAGAAAAGAAGACCUUUCUCUCCCUGAACGACGCCGGUCAUGGGUGUCCCAGGAGAUGUGUGGUCAUGACUGUGCACCAUGCCUGGGGAUGACUCAGGAAGGUGGGGCCGCUGUGCAAGAUGGGCCAUCCGUCAUGAAGAGAGCAUCUUCCUUUAUAUAAUGAUGGAGUUUGCGGGACAUGUGCAGGAAGUGUGUGUCUGGGUGUGCACCCUGCCUGUGGAUUGCUCAGGAAGGUAGAGGUUCGUUGCAAGGUUCUUCAGUGGCCAAGAAAAGACUAUUGCCUGCCUGGAUGGCCGAAGUUUGCAGGAUUCUCAGAAGCUGUGUGGCCCUCAGUGUGCAUCGAGCCUGGGGAUCACUCAGAAAGGUGCACUGCCAGGUUCUUCAGCAUCCAAGAAAAGAGGACCUUUCUCUCCCUGGAUGACUGAAGAUUGCCGGACUCUCAGAAGCUCUGUGGCCCUGAGUGCACCGAGUCUGGGGAUCACUCAGGAAGGUGGGGCGGCUGUGCAAGAUGGGCCAUCCGUCAUGAAGAGAGCAUCUUCCUUUAUGUAAUGAUGGAGUCUGCAGGACAUGUGCAGGAAGUGUGUGUCUGGGUGUGCACCCUGCCUGUGGAUUGCUCAGGAAGGUAGAGGUUCGCUGCAAGGUUCUUCAGUGGCCAAGAAAAGACUAUUGCCUGCCUGGAUGACCGAAGUUUGCAGGACUCUCAGAAGCUGUGUGGCCCUCAGUGUGCACCGAGCCUGGGAAUCACUCAGAAAGGUAGAGGUGCCCUUAAAGGUAUUUACCAGCCAAGAGAAAUACCAUUCUCUCCCUGGGUGACAGUAGUUUGCAGGACUUCUUGAGGCUCUGUGGCCCUGAGUGUGCACCGGGCCUGGGGAUCACUCAGGAAGGUAGCACUGCGGUGGAAUUUGGUGUCAGUCGUGAAGAGAGCAUCUCCUCUAUUUGCUGAUGGGAGCUGUGUGGCAAACUGCCCUUGCAGGGAAUGUGUCCCUGCGUGUGCACCUUGCCUCUGGAUUGCUGAGGAAGGUGGAGGUGCACUGCCAGGUUCUUUAUGAGCCCAGAAAACAAGCGACCUCUCCUUUGGAUGAAUGAACGAAGAUUCGUGGGACUUUGAGAGAAUCUGUGGCCCUGAGUGCCCACCGUGUGUGCGGAUCACUCAGGAGGGUGCACUGCCAGGUUCUUCAGCAGCCAAGAAGGGAGGACUUUUCUCUCCCUGGAUGACCGAAGUUUGCCGGACUCUCAGAAGCUCUGUGGCCCUGAGUGCACCGAGCCUGGGGAUCACUCAGGAAGGCGGAGCGGCCGUGCAAGAUGGGAUGUCAGUCAUGCAGAGAGCACCUUCCUGUAUUUGCUGAUGGGCGUUUUGUGUGAUGUGUGCAGGGAGUGUUUCCCGGGGGUGAACCCUGCCUGUGGAUCGCUCAGGAAGGUAGAGGCGCACUGCAAGUUUCAUCAUCAGGCCAGAAAACAAGGUCCAUCUCAUCCUGGCUGAACGGAGGUUCUGGAGACUUCAGAAGAUCUGGGGCCCUGAGGGCACACCCUGCUGGGGAUCACUCAGGAAGGUGGAGUGGCCGUGCAAGACAGACUGUCAGUUACGUGGAGACCACCUUCCUUCAUUCGAUGAUGGGAGUUCUGCGCGAGUCGUUCGGGUGCUUGUCCCUGUCUGCAACACAGCUGUGGAUCACUCAGGAAGGUAGAGGUGAACUGCAAGGUUCUUCAUCAGCCAAGAAAAGAAGACCUUUCUCUCUCUGAGUGACCCAGGGUAAUAUGGGUCCUGGAAGAUGUGUGGCCCUGAGUGUGUGCCAUGUCUUGGGAUCUCUCAGAAAGGUGGAGCGGCGGUGCAGGACUGGAUGUAAGUCGUGAAGAGACCACCUUCCUGAUUUGAUGAUGGGAGUUUGGCGGGAGACAUGCCCAAGUGCAUCCUUGGGUGUGUACCAUGCCCGUGGAUCACUG